GACGAACGCUGGCGGCGUGCUUAACACAUGCAAGUCGAACGGAAAGGCCCUGCUUUUGUGGGGUGCUCGAGUGGCGAACGGGUGAGUAACACGUGAGUAACCUGCCCUUGACUUUGGGAUAACUUCAGGAAACUGGGGCUAAUACCGGAUAGGAGCUCCUGCUGCAUGGUGGGGGUUGGAAAGUUUCGGCGGUUGGGGAUGGACUCGCGGCUUAUCAGCUUGUUGGUGGGGUAGUGGCUUACCAAGGCUUUGACGGGUAGCCGGCCUGGGAGGGUGACCGGCCACAUUGGGACUGAGAGACGGCCCCGACUCCUACGGGAGGCAGCAGUGGGGAAUAUUGCACCAUGGGCGGAAGCCUGGUGCAGCAACGCCGCGUGCGGGAUGACGGCCUUCGGGUUGUAAACCGCUUUCGCCUGUGACGAAGCGUGAGUGACGGUAAUGGGUAAAGAAGCACCGGCUAACUACGUG
rnacentral:rRNA from 1 species